UACGAGAGGUGCAAGCGUUGUUCGGAAUUAUUGGGCGUAAAGCGCACGUAGGCGGGUUCGUAUGUCGAUUGUGAAAGCCCCAGGCUCAACCUGGGAAUUGCAGUCGAAACUGCGAAUCUUGAAUACCUGAGAGGGUGGGAGAAUUCCUGGUGGAGUAGUGAAAUACGUAGAGAUCAGGAGGAAUACCGGAGGCGAAGGCGCCUGCCUGGCAGUGUAUUGACGCUGAGGUGCGAAAGCGUGGGGAGCAAAC
rnacentral:rRNA from 1 species